rnacentral:rRNA from 1 species
GGCUGUCGUCAGCUCGUGUCGUGAGAUGUUGGGUUAAGUCCCGCAACGAGCGCAACCCACGUCUUUAGUUGCCAGCAUUAAGUUGGGCACUCUAGAGAGGCCGCCGGUGAUAAACCGGAGGAAGGUGUGGAUGACGUCAAGUCAUCAUGCCCCUUACAUCCUGGGCUACACACGUACUACAAUGCUACGGACAAAGGGCAGCAAACUCGCGAGAGCUAGCAAAUCCCAUAAACCGUGGCUCAGUUCAGAUCGUAGGCUGCAACUCGCCUACGUGAAGGAGGAAUCGCUAGUAAUCGCAGGUCAGCAUACUGCGGUGAAUACGUUCCCGGGCCUUGUACACACCGCCCGUCACACCAUGGAAGUUGGUCACGCCCGAAGUCGUUACUCCAACCCUUGUGGAGGAGGAUGCCGAAGGUGGGGCUGAUGACUGGGGUGAAGUCGUAACAAGGUAGCCGUACCGGAAGGUGCGGCUGGAUCACCUCCUAA